CGUGUGCUUUUGUAACUGCCACGCUGGACUGACGCCGUAGUGUCGGCAUCUUCUGCUUCAUCUACAGCGGAAGAGUAAGAUAUUCCAUGUCCUAGCGUGUCCUCGUUGUAGUUUUCCAACCCUUCCCUCACCCGCCGUCCGAGUCUCCCCUUCGGGUUUUUCUUGUUUGACCGCUUGCUCGCAUGUCCAACUCUCUGCCCACGGCGGAGUCGACCACAUGCGGGGGAGAAGCGCCAGAGGAACUGCUGUUUCACUCACUGCCCAUUCAACCCGACUUUGAGAGCACGGCCGAUGUGCACGAGAGCUUCGUCUGCAAUGAAACGUGAUCCCGGCAAUGGCCUUCGGCAUGCAACGUUGCGGGGCCGUGCACUGCUGGGAGAGGAGGUUCAACUGCCGGAGGGCUACGCCGUUGUCAUGACCACAAUCACCACAAGCAAGCCGUCCUGCUCUCCACUCCCCACCCCGGCGUCCCUUUCCACGUUCACGCUCCAGAUUGCCGAGGUUGACGAACUCGAGAUGCCCGAUGAGGUGUUCAGUGAACCAUGCGCGCCACGCUAUGUGGUAUGGGACCAUGAUAGAGCACCGUCGCGUGCUGCCAGCAUAUCGCAGUGGAUCAUGCUAGCAUAGGCGCUUCACGGCUCCUCGAAGUGGGCGGAGAGCGAGUGCGAUACUUCGCUUCUAUCCUCGUCGUGAACAUGUGCGCUUUCCCUUCCCUGUGCCGAUCUGUGUCCGUGAUGAAGCGAUGGAAGAGAAGGAUAAAAGAGAAUGGACCACGCCCUCUGCAUCACCGAUGCCGCAGGUGUGGCUCACCGAAGUGCAGAGUGGUCACUGCGAAGUUUUUUUCCCCUUUUCCCCCGGCUGGCUGCCAGCCGUCUCGUGUGUUGUGCAGGGACUACGGCUUUUGCGGUGGCUACCGUUUUGCGCACCAAAAAAGGCGAUGAGGCCCGCUGCCGGUGACAAGUUGGACAUGUGCUGCUCACUUGCGACUCCUCUUCCCUUGGCGGCAAAACACGCAUACCUCCAUUGUUUCAGACAAGCACCAACAUGUCGUACACAUGCCUCAUCUUUCUGCAUACGCUUUUGCCUCUUGUCCACCUCUCCCCGUAUAG
rnacentral:misc_RNA from 1 species